rnacentral:rRNA from 1 species
AAAUCAUUCGCAGAGUGCAAAGGCAUAAGGGAGCUUGACUGCGAGACCUACAAGUCGAGCAGGGACGAAAGUCGGGCUUAGUGAUCCGGUGGUUCCGCAUGGAAGGGCCAUCGCUCAACGGAUAAAAGCUACCCUGGGGAUAACAGGCUUAUCUCCCCCAAGAGUCCACAUCGACGGGGAGGUUUGGCACCUCGAUGUCGGCUCGUCGCAUCCUGGGGCUGUAGUCGGUCCCAAGGGUUGG